rnacentral:rRNA from 1 species
UGGCUCAGCGCGAACGCUGGCGGCAUGGCUAAAACAUGCAAGUCGAACGCGAAACCGGCUUCGGCCGGGAGUAGAGUGGCGAACGGGCGAGUAAUGCGUUUCUAACGUGCCCCGAGGUCGGGGAUAGCUCACCGAAAGGUGUGGUAAUACCCGAUGACCUCCGCGGAUCGCAUGGUCUGCGGAGCAAAGGCUUGCUGCCUCGGGAUCGGGAAACGUGCUAUCAGGUAGUUGGUGGGGUAACGGCUCACCAAGCCGAAGACGGCUAGCGGGUGUGAGAGCAUGACCCGCCGCAUCGGAACUGAGACACUGUCCGGACUCCUACGGGAGGCUGCAGUAACGGAUCUUCCGCAAUGCGCGAAAGCGUGACGGAGCAAUGCCGCGUGCGGGAUGAAGCCCCUUGGGGUGUAAACCGCUGUCAGGGCCUAGGAAUUCUGACCAGGCCCAGAGGAAGGACCGGCUAACUUCGUGCCAGCAGCCGCGGUAAGACGAAGGGUCCAAGCGUUGCGCGGAAUCACUGGGCUUAAAGCGUGCGCAGGCGGGUAUGUAAGUGCCUUGUGAAAUCCCACCGCUCAACGGUGGAAUUGCAGGGCAUACUGCAUACCUUGAGGUCGGUAGAGGUGCCCGGAACUGUAGGUGUAGCGGUGAAAUGCGUAGAUAUCUACAGGAACGCCGAAGGUGAAGACAGGGCACUGGACCGAUUCUGACGCUCAGGCACGAAAGCGUGGGGAGCAAACAGGAUUAGAUACCCUGGUAGUCCACGCCGUAAACAAUGUGUACUAGAUCCGGGAGGUUCUGACACCAUCCGGAUCGAAGCUAAAGUGUUAAGUACACCGCCUGGGGAGUACGGUCGCAAGGCUAAAACUCAAAGGAAUUGACGGGGGCUCACACAAGCGGUGGAGCAUGUUGCUUAAUUCGAUGCAACGCGAAGAACCUUAUCCUGGGUUUGACAUGCAUGGAUGCCCUUCCCGAAAGGGAAGUA